GAUGAACGCUAGCGGGAGGCCUAACACAUGCAAGCCGAGCGGUAUUGUUUCUUCGGAAAUGAGAGAGCGGCGUACGGGUGCGGAACACGUGUGCAACCUGCCUUUAUCUGGGGGAUAGCCUUUCGAAAGGAAGAUUAAUACUCCAUAAUAUAUUGAUUGGCAUCAAUUAAUAUUGAAAGCUCCGGCGGAUAGAGAUGGGCACGCGCAAGAUUAGCUAGUUGGUGAGGUAACGGCUCACCAAGGCGAUGAUCUUUAGGGGGCCUGAGAGGGUGAUCCCCCACACUGGUACUGAGACACGGACCAGACUCCUACGGGAGGCAGCAGUGAGGAAUAUUGGUCAAUGGGUGCAAGCCUGAACCAGCCAUCCCGCGUGAAGGACGACUGCCCUAUGGGUUGUAAACUUCUUUUGUAUAGGGAUAAACCUACCCUCGUGAGGGUAGCUGAAGGUACUAUACGGAUAAGCACCGGCUAACUACGUGCCAGCCGCCGCCGUAAUAC
rnacentral:rRNA from 1 species